AGAAUGAGGAAAGGAUCGAUAAAGCUCAUUUGCAUUGUUCCUCGACUGUACCCAUUUACAUUUUCACGGAUAGGAAAAUGCAGGAAAGAAUCUGCUGUCAUCAAUACUCUGUCUGCAUUGUGUUCACUGUUCUUUUACCGAAUUUAAGUUUCCUUUCAUUUUUUUUUCCAGGGAAAACCUCAAUUUGCAGAUGAUAUAUAUUAAGGGCCUCCACUCCAACCUACUUACAGUACUUACCUCAAGCUCUUAAAUUGCUGGGUGAUCUUCACUGUUGAGGUUCAGUUUUGUCAAGAGUGGACAAGGGUCUCAUUUACUUUGAUCAAUGAAGCUUGUUCUUACUCCACUCCAGUCCAGUUAACCCAAAUUUAAAACAGGGCGUACAUUACUUCCUGCAGUAAGCUGUUCAGAUCAUUUUAUCCCAAGCUCACAAAUUCAUCUUCCCAAGUCGAGUUUCUGGAAGAGGGACAUGUGACUUGCUAAUUUUGUUGGGCCAGCUUCCGAACUUUAGAAUAUGCGAAGAGGGUUGGAUAAGUUUUAUCUUAAACAUCAUCAUUUACAUUCCAGGGAUAGCUUCUUCUUGUUCUGCUGUCUCUGACUUCUUACCAUUAUGUUUUCCUUGUUCGACGAUGUUGACAUGGUCAGUACAAAGAAAUGAUCUUAUCAAUUUUUGUCCUUUAUUUUCUGACGGAUCGAAAGGCUUUGUCACUCGUUAGGUGGCCGGAUGCAUGGAGAGAUGUUCUCCGGGGCAAAAUAGUUCAAUGCAGCCAGUGUGAAGGCAAGGCACCAGCCGAUCCACCCAUCAGUUCUGUCUUGACUAAACGUGCCUUCAUGCAAUGAUAUGAAUGGACGCUCAAUUAAAAACACAUGGCUGACACUGCAUGAAGCCUGCAUUACGGGAUGGUUCAUAGAGGUUGAACAGGUCAGUAAGAGGGAGAUUCAUUUGGGAUCGGUGGCAGGUUCCCCUAGAUUAAACUCUUAAUUUUGGGAUGUUUUAGAGUGGCAUGGUGGGCAUGGUUUGGGGUUCAUAAGGAGUUUUCUCUUUUUUCUUUGCGGGUUCGCGCAAAAUUUAGCCUUUGCAACAUCGCCCAGCAACUCUCAGUGUCAUGUUGAUUUCAGUGUCUUUUCGAACCUUUGAGAACCUGCUGUCUUCUCUCUGAUUUUUAUUGAAGCAGCCCAACAAGGCAAAGAAACAAGCUGCCUGUCUCAUCCCAAGCUCUGUCAUCCGACAGGCCUGGUUUACCUUAUAGAUCUCCGUGUUGUCACAGACGAGGAUAAUUCAUGUUUCUUAAUAUCUGUGAGUUCCAGAGAGUCCUCUCAUGAAAAGAAUAUGCAAGGUGCGGGAAAUGACCUAAAUUGGUCUUGUAUAGAAUAAUGGUGUGGCCUCAUGGAAAUGGCCAAGCCGACUAACUAUUCAUAUGCACUCUGGCUACUUCGAUAUCUCUACCUCAUUUCCUGACCUUGUCAGAUGACAUUUGUUUAUCCCUACAGGUGGAGUAUCCUUCACAAGCAAUCUCUCAUCUUUAUACAUUGAAUUUUUUUUUUUUGUCGAAACGGGAUUAAUACAAGAGGAGUGUGAUAAUGUGAUUGAUGAAUGCUUCAGCCACAACAUGGCUCCGGAAGUAGUCCAUGGGCUUAUAUGUGGGAUGUUGAAGAUCAAGUUGGCUUGGACGGCUCGGUGUAAGUUUCGUCGAAGUGUUUUCUCUUAAACCUUUUCUCAGUGGGUUUACAUGAUUAAUCCCCCCUGUGCAGUUCCCAUUCCAUUUCUGGUGUAGGACAGAUUAUGGGGUUCAAAAACAAUCUUGCCUUUCUUGUCUUUUAUCUUUCACGGAAGCAAAAAUAGAAUUGGAUCAUUGAAUGCAUUACAGGUCCUCGUUACUCAGUACACAUAAACGGAAGAUUAGAAGGUUAUUUUAAUGGCUCGAAGGGUCUAAGGCAAGGUGACCCUCUGUCCCCUAUUCUUUUUGUCAUGGCUGUUGACGUUCUUUCCAAACUGCUUGAUAGUGCUGCAUGCAAGAGGUGUCCUGGCAUAUCAUCCUUUUUGUAAAAAAA